rnacentral:snoRNA from 1 species
AAACCAUGGUGAAGACAUUGUUUAACAAAUUAUUGAACCGUUCCCAUGCCUCAGAAAAUGACUCAUCUGCCUAUUGAAUGAAUUGCAUGAUUUUAUCCCUAGUGC